GACGAACGCUGGCGGCGUGCUUAACACAUGCAAGUCGAACGGAAAGGCCCUGCUUUUGUGGGGUGCUCGAGUGGCGAACGGGUGAGUAACACGUGAGUAACCUGCCCUUGACUUUGGGAUAACUUCAGGAAACUGGGGCUAAUACCGGAUAGGAGCUCCUGCUGCAUGGUGGGGGUUGGAAAGUUUCGGCGGUUGGGGAUGGACUCGCGGCUUAUCAGCUUGUUGGUGGGGUAGUGGCUUACCAAGGCUUUGACGGGUAGCCGGCCUGCGAGGGUGACCGGCCACAUUGGGCCGGAGAUACGGCCCAGACUCCUACGGGAGGCAGCAGUGGGGAAUAUUGCACAAUGGGCGGAAGCCUGAUGCAGCAACGCCGCGUGCGGGAUGACGGCCUUCGGGUUGUAAUCCGCUUUCGCCUGUGACGAAGCGUGAGUGACGGUAAUGGGUAAAGAAGCACCGGCUAACUACGUG
rnacentral:rRNA from 1 species